rnacentral:rRNA from 1 species
UACGUAGGGGGCUAGCGUUGUCCGGAAUCAUUGGGCGUAAAGAGCGUGUAGGCGGCCCGGUAAGUCCGCUGUGAAAGUCGGGGGCUCAACCCUCGAAUGCCGGUGGAUACUGUCGGGCUAGAGUGCGGAAGAGGCGAGUGGAUUUCCUGGUGUAGCGGUGAAAUGCGCAGAUAUCAGGAGGAACACCGAUUGCGAAGGCAGCUCGCUGGGACGUAACUGACGCUGAGACGCGAAAGCGUGGGGAGCAAACAGG